GCUACUCUUCUCUUAUCCUCCUCAGAUUGACAAAAAGAGUGUGAUCAUUUGUGUACAGCUGCAACCUCAACCCCAGCUUUGUCAUAACUGUGGACCUCAGUAAAGACAGCCCAACCAUGGAUCAGAAAAUCAAUGAAUGCCCCACCACCACCUCCCCCKAGAAACAGAUGAAGAGCAGGUCCAAAUCCACCGAUGAGAUCCAGCACACCAAGAGGCUUUCAUCACAGAAAUCCCUUCCCGGUGGGCCGGACCUGGACAAAGUCAAGGAGGGCCCAGAAGGUUCUGAGACGCCCUCGUCCUCCACAGAGGAGCUGAAGUGAUGACGACUAGGGUCCCUAAGGGAAAUAAGGCCAUCUGCUCAUUAAACAUGAACACAUACUGUACACACACAUAGAC